rnacentral:rRNA from 1 species
UAGGGAAUCUUCCACAAUGGACGAAAGUCUGAUGGAGCAACGCCGCGUGAGUGAUGAAGGGUUUCGGCUCGUAAAACUCUGUUGUUGGAGAAGAACAGGUGUGAGAGUAACUGUUCACAUCUUGACGGUAUCCAACCAGAAAGCCACGGCUAACUACGUGCCAGCAGCCGCGGUAAUACGUAGGUGGCAAGCGUUGUCCGGAUUUAUUGGGCGUAAAGCGAGCGCAGGCGGUUUCUUAGGUCUGAUGUGAAAGCCUUCGGCUUAACCGGAGAAGUGCAUCGGAAACCAGGAGACUUGAGUGCAGAAGAGGACAGUGGAACUCCAUGUGUAGCGGUGAAAUGCGUAGAUAUAUGGAAGAACACCAGUGGCGAAGGCGGCUGUCUGGUCUGUAACUGACGCUGAGGCUCGAAAGCAUGGGUAGCGAACAGGAUUAGAUACCCUGGUAGUCCAUGCCGUAAACGAUGAGUGCUAAGUGUUGGAGGGUUUCCGCCCUUCAGUGCUGCAGCUAACGCAUUAAGCACUCCGCCUGGGGAGUACGACCGCAAGGUUGAAAC